rnacentral:rRNA from 1 species
AGAGUUUGAUCCUGGCUCAGGACGAACGCUGGCGGCGUGCCUAAUACAUGCAAGUCGAGCGAGCGGAACUAACAGAUUUACUUCGGUAAUGACGUUAGGAAAGCGAGCGGCGGAUGGGUGAGUAACACGCGGGGAACCUGCCCCAUAGUCUGGGAUACCACUUGGAAACAGGUGCUAAUACCGGAUAAGAAAGCAGAUCGCAUGAUCAGCUUUUAAAAGGCGGCGUAAGCUGUCGCUAUGGGAUGGCCCCGCGGUGCAUUAGCUAGUUGGUAAGGCAAAGGCUUACCAAGGCGAUGAUGCAUAGCCGAGUUGAGAGACUGAUCGGCCACAUUGGGACUGAGACACGGCCCAAACUCCUACGGGAGGCAGCAGUAGGGAAUCUUCCACAAUGGACGCAAGUCUGAUGGAGCAACGCCGCGUGAGUGAAGAAGGUUUUCGGAUCGUAAAGCUCUGUUGUUGGUGAAGAAGGAUAGAGGUAGUAACUGGCCUUUAUUUGACGGUAAUCAACCAGAAAGUCACGGCUAACUACGUGCCAGCAGCCGCGGUAAUACGUAGGUGGCAAGCGUUGUCCGGAUUUAUUGGGCGUAAAGCGAGCGCAGGCGGAAGAAUAAGUCUGAUGUGAAAGCCCUCGGCUUAACCGAGGAACUGCAUCGGAAACUGUUUUUCUUGAGUGCAGAAGAGGAGAGUGGAACUCCAUGUGU